rnacentral:rRNA from 1 species
GACGAACGCUGGCGGCGUGCCUAAUACAUGCAAGUCGAGCGAACAGACGAGGAGCUUGCUCCUCUGACGUUAGCGGCGGACGGGUGAGUAACACGUGGAUAACCUACCUAUAAGACUGGGAUAACUUCGGGAAACCGGAGCUAAUACCGGAUAAUAUAUUGAACCGCAUGGUUCAAUAGUGAAAGACGGUUUUGCUGUCACUUAUAGAUGGAUCCGCGCCGCAUUAGCUAGUUGGUAAGGUAACGGCUUACCAAGGCAACGAUGCGUAGCCGACCUGAGAGGGUGAUCGGCCACACUGGAACUGAGACACGGUCCAGACUCCUACGGGAGGCAGCAGUAGGGAAUCUUCCGCAAUGGGCGAAAGCUUGACGGAGCAACGCCGCGUGAGUGAUGAAGGUCUUCGGAUCGUAAAACUCUGUUAUUAGGGAAGAACAAAUGUGUAAGUAACUAUGCACGUCUUGACGGUACCUAAUCAGAAAGCCACGGCUAACUACGUG